GAAAAAGUAACUCAGUUGGUAGAGUGUUGGUUUGUCAAGUCAAUGGCCGCGGGUUCAAGUCCCGUCUUUUUCG
rnacentral:tRNA from 1 species